AAAACUUUCAACAACGGAUCUCUUGGUUCUGGCAUCGAUGAAGAACGCAGCGAAAUGCGAUAAGUAAUGUGAAUUGCAGAAUUUAGUGAAUCAUCGAAUCUUUGAACGCACCUUGCGCCCCCCGGCAUCCCGGCGGGCAUGCCUGUUCGAGCGUCAUU
rnacentral:rRNA from 1 species